rnacentral:rRNA from 1 species
ACCCGCGUACAUGCCACCGGGGCAUCCCGGAGGCAGGAAAGGCUUCGGCCGGACAGGGAUGGGCAUGCGGCGCAUUAGGCAGUAGGCGGGGUAACGGCCCACCUAACCGACGAUGCGUAGGGGUUCUGAGAGGAAGGUCCCCCACACUGGUACUGAGACACGGACCAGACUCCUACGGGAGGCAGCAGUGAGGAAUAUUGGUCAAUGGUCGGGAGACUGAACCAGCCAAGCCGCGUGAGGGAUGAAGGUACAGAGUAUCGUAAACCUCUUCUGUCAGGGAACAAAGGCGGGGACGUGUCCCCGGAUGAGUGUACCUGAAGAAAAAGCAUCGGCUAACUCCGUGCCAGCAGCCGCGGUAAUACGGAGGAUGCGAGCGUUAUCCGGAUUUAUUGGGUUUAAAGGGUGCGCAGGCGGUCUGUUAAGUCAGCGGUCAAAGCCCGGGGCUCAACCCCGGCCCGCCGUUGAAACUGGCAGUCUCGAGUUGGAGAGAAGUAUGCGGAAUGCGCGGUGUAGCGGUGAAAUGCAUAGAUAUCGCGCAGAACUCCGAUUGCGAAGGCAGCAUGCCGGCUCCACACUGACGCUGAGGCACGAAAGCGUGGGUAUCGAACAGGAUUAGAUACCCUGGUAGUCCACGCAGUAAACGAC